rnacentral:lncRNA from 1 species
GUCAUGUUUGAAAUGGCAUGAGGCUGGGUUGGGCCGAGUCAUGUUCGAAAUGGCGUGAGGCUGGUUCGGAUGAGUCACAAUCGAGAUCCGUGGGCGCUGUAUCUGUACGCUUUAAACGAAUUGGUUGCGUAUUUCUAACAACUCGAGCUUUUAAAAUUAAUGGUUAGCGUCAACGAUCCGAUAGUCUGUAGCAUGAAUA